rnacentral:rRNA from 1 species
CAGUAGCCGCGGUAAUACGAAGGGUGCAAGCGUUAAUCGGAAUUACUGGGCGUAAAGCGUGCGUAGGCGGUGAGUUAAGUCUGCUGUGAAAUCCCCGGGCUCAACCUGGGAAUGGCAGUGGAUACUGGCUCGCUAGAGUGUGUCAGAGGAUGGUGGAAUUCCCGGUGUAGCGGUGAAAUGCGUAGAGAACGGGAGGAACAUCAGUGGCGAAGGCGGCCAUCUGGGACAACACUGACGCUGAGGCACGAAAGCGUGGGGAGCAAACAGGAUUAGAUACCCGCGUAGUCCCUGUCUCUUAUAC